AGAAGCACUCUAGCUACAGAUUAGAAUGAUGACAAGAGUAAUACCUUCCUAGUGAAGAUGACUUUUAUUUCAGGACUAUAUUAAGUUUCCCAACUUCUGUCAUGAUAUAGUCCAAAGAGAACCUGGACCACGCAGACAUCAAACAGAACAUGACACUGACCCAUUCUAUCAGUGACGUUGUGCUGAUUGCACAGGACAGAUGAGAGGCUCGUAUACUAGAAGUCUUGAUGAAGAAAAAUUGUGCCCCAGCAAGGAUUAUACCCAGAGCCUCAUCCAUUCAUACCUGAUUUAGAUACUUAGAUGAUGAGUAAUAGAAAAGGAUCCUGUGUUACCAAGGUGGUUAUCAAACCUGGGUCAAAGUUGAAUCACCUGAGGAUCUUUUAGAACAUACACAGUCAUAUGAUACUUCAAAAUCUGUGAUUCCAUGAAGCCAAGAGUAGCUCUUCAACAGGAAAUGAAUGAGUGCUUCAGCUUCUGAUCCCAUUAGUAAGAAAAUACAGUCUUAUGAGCAAUGAUGGAGCUGCAUCUCUUAGGGGCAUUUGAUUCCCAAGAGACCAAAGAGCAAAGAGAAUGUCAAUUUAAAAAAAUCAAAUGUUUCCAUGACUUAGCUAUUUAACUGCUUUAAAAUGAAUGAAUGCUGCUUCAAGUUCUUUCAAAUACCCCACAUCUUGGCAACAACGAAAGGAAUUAACAUGAAGAAAAUUUACAAUCUUUCAUCACAUCGAACAAUGUCCCACAUUUGAAAAGUUCACAGCACAGAUUUCUGGUUACUGAAAGAAAGGAAAGACCUUCUUUGGAUUUGAAUAAACAGAUGGACUUUCUUCUC
rnacentral:lncRNA from 1 species